CUCGUUUCCAACAGUAAACAGUUGGAAGCAACACUUUGUAAAAACGAAAAUUUGCUUGGAUAUGGAAUUAAAGCCUGAAAUUUUGCUUUAUAGGUUGGAUUCCGAUACAUCGUUGUGCAAUGAUGAUGCAGGGAAUAGGUUUUGAAAUGAUUCGAUUGAAAUGAAGAAUAUCCAGUAAGAAAGAAUACGUUUAAUAAAGGAAAGAACAGGAAUAAACUGUAUUAUAUAAACGCGUCGAUGCCUUUGUUCCGCUACAUUGAGCUCGGCAAUUCGAGAAGGGGACAAACGAAACACGACGUAUUUUUUAAUACAUUUCGCACGAGAAGUAAAACAAAUAAUUUAUUUACGAAAUAAUAAAAAACAGUCGAGCUUGGAAAAUAUGGAUAUUCCCGAGUUCGAAAUUCAAGGUUUCCAAAGUUGUCCCAAUGAAUCUCGAGAUAAAAACAGCGCCAAUGGUCUACGAAAUAUACACGACAGCUCGAGGUCAAGUUUUAU